UUUAAAAAGGUCAAUUAAGAUUUGUAACAAUCUCUUAAUUGGAUUCAAAUGAUUUUUACUAGAGCUAAUAGUUGACUUGUCUUCGAACACUUGUACAAAAUUUGAAAGUAAAUUAAUUGUUAAACUAAGAGUUUUUACUGCUGGAAGGUUAAUAUUAAAGUCAAAGAUGGAGGCUAACAAACACCGGAGUAGAUUAUGAUGUUUUGUAAUUAAUAUUUGUAUUUAGGAAUUGAUUAGAAUUUGAUUUAAAAUUUAGGAUUUGAUUA
rnacentral:lncRNA from 1 species